ensembl:lncRNA
GCCACCCCCGUCAUUAUUUGUCCGCAAGCCCUCAAGCCGCGUCCGCGCCCUGCCCGCCCGCGCCCCGGCCCGCCCCGCGCUCCCCAGAGCCUCGGCCCCCAGCUCGGGCGCCCCCCGCCUGCCUCGCUCGCUCCCCGGGGUCAGGCCGUUACCGUCGCGCGCUCCCUCCCUCCUCCCUCCUCCUCCCCGGGCCCGGGCCUGCCAGGCCGAGCGCUUUACCGCGGGCGGGCGCCGACUCGCGCGGUCACAGACUGCAGGCGGCGGAGGCUCCAACCUUCCUAGCGGCCAGCAGUAGAGAGGCAGACAUACCGCGGCUAGAGCGCCGCCGCGGUCGCCGCCACUGCCGGCGCGGUGCAUUGUGGGAAGCCCCGCACCAGAGAAGCGCUCCGAGGCGCCCGCCCUCGCCUGGCGCGGAGACUUGGCUGCAAGACCCAGCGAAGCUCCGGUUCCGGCGCCUGCGUGUCACCAGCCCAACUUGGCCGAGAAAACUGGAUCCGAGCUGUGGAUACCCCCGUUUGGGCCCAGGAGGAAAGCGACUGGAAGGAGAUCGCAACUGAGGAGGCCUCUCGGACUAGGGAGUGCUCCCACCUGCAGCCUCAAUCUCUGUCAGAUGCCUGGAGAAGUGGAGGGGUCGGGAGCCUUUCGGGACGGGGAAGUGAAAGGGGCGGGGACCUAGGUGAAAGGUUGUCUGCCAGAAUGUCUUGGCUUUUUCGUUUAACCUCACUUACCUAACUCCCUCCUCCGCCACCUCAGAUGCCACCUUUUCCUGAAGAUAAAGCCCUGCGCCCUUGAAACUCGCAAGCCUUGUUAGUGAGACGUAGUGUGACCCCAGAGAAACUGCAAGAGAGCCGGUCCUGGACACUCCUGAGCAGGGUCUUAGCGUAGUAUUUCGUGCUGAGUUCACCUGGAACCCAAAACUACGGCUGUAUGGCAGCAUAGACUUAGUAACGGUCUAUACAGAGCUUGGAUUGUAUAGUUGUUUCAUCCUUAGCACUUUAAAUGCCCUUCGCCUAAUCACCUCCUCCUUAAUCCUUCACCUCCUUAAGGGUGCCUUAAUUCAACUAACAUUUAUUAGGCACCCUGAGGUGCUUGUGCGUACUGCAGUGGCUUACAAUUGCUCCUAUGUGUCCCCUCCCUAGCACAAGGUCAGCUUAGUAACAAAAGAUGCUCAGUGAAUGUUGAAUGAUUAUGAGAAUCGGGAACUUUCUGUGGGAUGAAAGACCUUCAUUAUGAUUUCUUCAUAAUGAUCUGAAGAUUUUUUCUUUAACACCUUUCCACAACACUUAAACAUAACCUUUCAGGGGAAAGGAAAGGGCAUUAAAAUAUCUGUAUAACUAUUUCUGGAAUUCUCCUUCCUUUGUCCACACCCACCUUCCCACCCUUUGCCAACUGACUGUUCAUUUGAAUAGUGCUUUUUGGCAAAACUCCAAAAUCCCGCAUUUUGCACUGGUGAUGACACUGAAUUAGAUUACUGUCUGCAAGGUUAAUGUUCCCUCGGGCAUUAACCUUAGUAAAUCGUGAUGCCUGUUUAGAAAUAGCUGAGGCCCAAAGGUUCAGCUUAAUUUAGACACAGGUAACUAAGAAGAGCAAGGAUAAACCACAGCUCCACAAUCAACUAUCCAUGUGCUUUCUCCACUGAAAAAUAUAAAUUUUAAUAAGAUGACAGUGCAUAUUCUGAAUGCUAAUUGCAACAAAACAGUGAUAUAAGCUAGAGCAAGGGACAAUUAUCUGGAGGACAGCCUUCUGGCAACUUCUAGCAUCUGCAAUGACAUCAAAUUCAGAUGUCAAAAUUAAAAACACCUCUGGCAGCAAAGAAGCAGACUCUCAGUAUUAGGCAGUGGGGAAACUGAUGACUGAAAAGGGCUGAAGGCUGGAGAUGACACCCAGUGGGGUAUGAUUGAUUGGUUUCCCUCUAGAGAUCUUAGCACUGUAAUUGGGAAACAACAGUCUAAAAUGGGCAGAAUAAAGAUCACUAUAAUUCUGACAGAAAUUGUAGUGAGGAGUAAGUUUUCUUUCUAGGUUAAACUUCUGGAAAUAAUUUUCAGCCCCAGUCUGGUAGCCACCAUUGUCUUGCUCACCUCCCCAAACACCAGCUCUAGACAUUCAGGUAACUUAUUUUUAUAAUUGUGGACUCAAAAGAAGUUGUAAAUAUAGUACAAGAGUCUCACCCUUGCCCUAGCACAAGGCCCUCGGUUUGAUCCUAGCACUGCCCCCCUCCCACCAAAAUAAUAAUAACUUGAAUAAAAUAUUCAUACCAAUCUUAUUUUUAAUAGCAAGAAAACUAGAAACAACCUAAAUGUACCUCACCAGGGAAUGGAUGAACAUCCAUAAAUAGAGUACUGGUUAGUAAUAAAAAAGAAUGAAUAUUUGAUUCAUGGAACAACAUAGGUGACAUCUAGCAAAGCUCUAUAUGAAAACCAGGAAGUUGACACUGGUACAUUACUGUUAACUAUAUUCCAGAAUUUCCUCAGUAUUCACCAUAUUUUUUUAACCUUCAUAGUUACACAUAAGUGUUUAUGUAGCUCAGUGCAAUUUUAUCUAAUGUAUGGAUCUGUGUAACAACUACAACAAAGAUACAGAACUGUUCUAUCACCACAAAAAAUUACUAAUACUACCCUUUUAGAUUCACAAAUUCCCUCCCACUCACUCUCUGUCCUCUGGCCACUAAUCUGUUCAUUAUAGGUUUCUCAUUCCAAAAAAUUUAAAUAAAUGGAAUCAUUUUUAUAACACAUGACUUUGAGAAUGAAG